UGGUGGAGUGAUUUGUCUGGUUAAUUCCGUUAACGAACGAGACCUCAGCCUGCUAAAUAGCCCCAGCCAUCCUCGAUGGCUGGCUGGCUUCUUAGAGGGACUAUGUGCGAUUAGCACAUGGAAGUUUGAGGCAAUAACA
rnacentral:rRNA from 1 species